GCCGAGGUGGUGGAAUUGGUAGACACGCUAUCUUGAGGGGGUAGUGCCUAAUUGGGCGUGCGGGUUCAAGUCCCGCUCUCGGCA
rnacentral:tRNA from 1 species